rnacentral:lncRNA from 1 species
UGCAGCUGACAACCGCCCUUAUUGCAUUGCCCCAGGGAGAGUGGGAUAAGGGGAGAUGCUGCUGCUACUGCUAAUUGAAAUUUCAGUACUAAGAAAUGAAAUUGGAGAACUGAGGCAGCUGUUGGAUCAAAAAUGACUUUGACAGGUAAGUUAUUUUUAUUAAAUACGUUUUGAGACUCCCAACUAACUUCUUACAUUGGUAGUUUAAAAUCUCCAUAAACUACUUAA